AUUUUUUUAAAAAUAUUGUGUUAAUUCCUUUUAAAUUAAACUGAAAUUUAAAAACCUCAAUACUCUUUGACUGUAAAUCUCCAUUUGUAAAAACAUAUUCUCCUAAAGGUUUCUGAAAGCAUGCAAAAAGAUAUUUGUUCAAGCAUAUUUAUUAUAGUGUUAUUUAUUUAUUUCUUCAUUUAUUUUUAGAGACAGGGUUUUACUCUGUCACCCAGGCUGGAGUGCAGUGAUACGUUCAUAGUUUACUGUAACCUCAAACUCCUGGGCUCAAGCAAUCCUCCCACUUCAGCCUCCUGAGCAGCUGGGAUGACAGGUGUGCACAACCAUGUCUGGCUCAUACUUAUUUUGAAUUUUUUUUUGUAGAGAUAGAGUCUUGCUGUGUUGCAUAGGCUGGUCUCCAACUCCUGGCCUCAAGCAGUCCUCCCACCUCAACCUCCUAAAGUGCUGGAUUACAGGUGUGAGCUGCUGUGCCAAGCCCUACGGUGUUAUUUCUAAGUAAAUGCCAAUAAACCAAAAGGCCUAAAAAUAACAGAUAGGUUAAAUAAACAAUGAUAUAUGUCAGAAUAGCUUAUUCUGUGCAGAAAUUGAGAGAAGAAUUUGUUAUGGCAAUGCUAGCUGCAUAACAAAUAAACCCUGUCACCGCAGAGGGUCAACACAUGGAUGUCUCUCUCCCAUGACUGCCCGGGGUGUCCAGCUGUGCUGGGUGGAAGUCUUUGCUCAGGAUGACCAAGGCUUCUCCCAUCUUGCGGGUCCUUCAUCCUUGAGGGUCUCAGCGCCUUUGCAUUCGGCAGUGGAAGUGGAAGAAGCAUGAAAGCACAUAUCAGGCUGACUGUGCUAGGCCAGGAGGCCCGGCCUCACUUCCACUGUCAUCCAGUGGCCAACACCAGCCAGGACGGCCGGAAACUCAGUCUCGUGUCCAGGUCUAAUGAGCAGUGAGGUGUCUCUGCCACAGUCUGCAAACUCCCCUGUCCUCUGUACUCCGUGAGAAUGGGAAGAAAAGUGCAGCCCUCUCCUCCAGUCUCCGCUCCAUCCUGUUCUCUUUCCC
rnacentral:lncRNA from 1 species